rnacentral:rRNA from 2 species
GAGUCUAGCAUGUGCGCGAGUCAUUGGGACCGCACUAAACCUAAAGGCGUAAUGAAAGUAAAGGUCCGCCUUGCGCGGACCUAGGGAGGAUGGGUCGGCCUUCGGGCAGGCCCCGCACUCCCGGGGCGUCUCAUUCUCAUCGCGAGAAGAGGCGCACCCAGAGCGUACACGCUGGGACCCGAAAGAUGGUGAACUAUGCCUGGUCAGGACGAAGUCAGGGGAAACCCUGAUGGAGGUCCGUAGCGAUUCUGACGUGCAAAUCGAUCGUCGGAACUGGGUAUAGGGGCGAAAGACUAAUCGAACCAUCUAGUAGCUGGUUCCCUCCGAAGUUUCCCUCAGGAUAGCUGGCGCUCGCAGCGUGCGAGUCUCAUUCGGUAAAGCGAAUGAUUAGAGGCAUUGGGGUCGAAACGGCCUCAACCUAUUCUCAAACUUUAAAUGGGUGAGAUCUCCGGCUUGCUUGAACGGUGAAGCCGCGAGAUAUCGGAUCAGAGUGCCAAGUGGGCCACUUUUGGUAAGCAGAACUGGCGCUGUGGGAUGAACCAAACGCCGAGUUAAAGCGCCAAAAUCGACGCUUAUGGGAUACCAUGAAAGGCGUUGGUAACUUAAGACAGCAGGACGGUGGCCAUGGAAGUCGGA